rnacentral:rRNA from 1 species
CGAACGCUGGCGGCAGGCUUAACACAUGCAAGUCGAACGCAUCCUUCGGGGUGAGUGGCAGACGGGUGAGUAACGCGUGGGAACGUGCCCUUCAGUUCGGAAUAACCCAGGGAAACUUGGGCUAAUACCGGAUACGUGCGAGAGCAGAAAGAUUUAUCGCUGAAGGAUCGGCCCGCGUCUGAUUAACUAGUUGGUGAGGUAAUGGCUCACCAAGGCGACGAUCAGUAGCUGGUCUGAGAGGAUGAUCAGCCACAUUGGGACUGAGACACGGCCCAAACUCCUACGGGAGGCAGCAGUGGGGAAUAUUGGACAAUGGGCGCAAGCCUGAUCCAGCCAUGCCGCGUGAGUGAUGAAGGCCUUAGGGUUGUAAAGCUCUUUCGUCCGGGACGAUAAUGACGGUACCGGAAGAAGAAGCCCCGGCUAACUUCGUGCCAGCAGCCGCGGUAAUACGAAGGGGGCUAGCGUUGUUCGGAAUCACUGGGCGUAAAGGGCGCGUAGGCGGCUUUGUAAGUCGGGGGUGAAAGCCUGUGGCUCAACCACAGAAUUGCCUUCGAUACUGCAUGGCUUGAGACCGGAAGAGGUAAGUGGAACUGCGAGUGUAGAGGUGAAAUUCGUAGAUAUUCGCAAGAACACCAGUGGCGAAGGCGGC